GCCCUUGUAGUUCAAUGGAUAGAACAGCGCGGUCCUAACGCGCGGAUCGAGGUUCGAUUCCUCGCGAGGGCA
rnacentral:tRNA from 1 species